rnacentral:lncRNA from 1 species
CGUCCGUGAUCGAGGCCGCCCUUGCUUCCGCACGAGAUUUAGAUUCGCGGGUACAGCCAGAUAUUCAGGCGCUAGCAUCGUUGCUCCGUAGCUCGACUGAGAUAGACAACAUAUCAUCAUGCAAUUGGGUAAGUUUGGUCUAUUUUAUAUGGUUGUCGUGAUUAAUGUUUGUUCUGAAUGAGUGUUGCUUGCAGAUAUUGCUCCCUCAUGCAUUCCUCGGCCACUACAUCUUGUUCGCAAUCGACAAACAUUCACGUCAAGUAACUAUUUUGGACCCACUAUUUCCGCCCUUAUCCCCAGAGAGAUAUGCGUUUAAAUUUCAGAGGGUUGCAUUCUACCUGAAUGAUGCACUCGAAUUAGCACAACCGGGUUGGAAGUCUGAUACAUUUGCCUGGCCACGUAAAUCACCAAUUGAUGUUCCGAUGAGCCUAGACCGGUCAGUUACUCUGAAAAUCACUAUGCAUGUUUUAGAUUUAUUGUCAUAACCUCCGAAGAUAAUGAUAGUGUAUUCAUCUACAGGAAUGAAUCUGGUUAUUUUGUUUUCAAUUAUAUGCUCUGGCAUGGUAACAAAUUUGUUCGUCCAAUUUGCAUGGUGAGUGUUCUAUAUCACACGUUCAUAAAAAGUUUGAAGCAAAAUUGCAUCCUAACAUCAUGCAUUGCUCAUGUAGGAUGGUUAUGAGUUGAGAAAGAAUAUUUUGAUACACUUACUCGAGUAUGAUGCGAAUGAAGCUGAAGACAAUAUCCCAUAUGAUGUAUGAGAAAUUCUCAAGUGCCUCAAGUAGGAAGUUAAUAAGAGAUGAUAAACUGGACUUGAUAUCUACGCAUUGGUAGUCACACUAUAGUUUUUUUUAUCAAAAUUUAUUUUCCAUCUCCAUGGAUUUGUUUACUGUAUUUGCCAUAUGUUGUGGCUAUUUAUUUAUAGACAUGAAUUUUGCGAUGCAAUAUGUUUUGGAGACUGAAAAAAUUAAGCUCCGGCACAACACAGAUGCAGUCAUUAUCUUCUUUUCAAUUUUAUUAUGCU